rnacentral:lncRNA from 1 species
GAAGCCUGCUGGGAGGAUGUGGGUCGCUGUGGGAGUGGCUUGGAGAUUGCUAUCUAUCUAUCUAUCUAUCUAUCUAUCUAUCUAUCUAUCUAUCUAAUCUGUUUAUCCCUAUAUAUUUCCAUAUAUAUAUCUAUAUUAUAUAUAGAUAUAUAUACACACAUUGCCUCCUGCCUUGAGCCUUGAGUGUGCGCUGCUUCCUGCCUGCCAUGCCGUGACCUAUUUCUCCUCUGCAAUGCCCCUCUGCCAUGCUGCCCUGCCUUGCAGCCAGCCGACUAUGGACUGAAAUCUCUAUAAAAUCUGACAUGAAGUGAGGCGCUUUCCUCCACUACACCCUUACACCACGAUGUUUCUGCUUCUCCAAAUGGACAAUGGACUGAAACCUAUGAAGCUGUGAAUGAUAUGUUCAAGUUGUUUUGUGUAGAGUUUGAUUUUUCCCUUUAUUCCAGGGCUUCACAGGUCAAUAUUUGUUUUCAAGCCUGGGUUAAUGUCCCUGACUUUUUAGAUAAUUUAGAUAAUAUAGGUGCCUCAGGCAGAGCUUGUUUAACACAGAGGAGAGACUUGGCACAUUGAAUCUGUCUCUGUCUCUCUCUCCUCCUGUCUCCCCACCCCCCCUGUCUCUCUCUCUCUCUCCUCCAUCCUGAAUAUUGGAUUGCUCUUUUUGCUUUAAAGUUUUCUAGUGGCCUCUGGGUUACUGCAAGUUGACUGCAAGUAAGUCCUGAAACUGAAUUCCUCAGCCCAGGUCAACUCUGCUGUCUGGCGCCGGUCCACCUUUCUACCCUGUGCUGCUCUAGCAAAACCAAGUGACAUGUCUUGUCCACUCCACCUCCACACGUGCACUGCUGUAUCACAGCCAGAUGUAGGGACAAUGCUAGAAUGAGCAGACCUCCUUGUCAGUCUGACUUCUCAUUCGCAGUUCCCUGUGCAGACUGCAAAGGAAAUAUUAUAAUGCAAAAAAUUGGCAAAGUAGAAAGAAUGCAGAAAGCUGGG